rnacentral:rRNA from 1 species
UACGGGGGGAGCAAGCGUUGUUCGGAUUUACUGGGCGUAAAGGGCGCGUAGGCGGCUCUGAAAGUCAGAUGUGAAAUUCUGGGGCUCAACCCCAGAGCUGCAUUUGAAACUCCAGAGCUUAGAGGAUGGUGAGGGAAAACGGAAUUCCACGUGUAGCGGUGAAAUGCGUAGAUAUGUGGAAGAACACCAGUGGUGAAGACGGUUUUCUGUGCCAAACCAGACGCUGAAGCGCGAAAGCUAGGGGAGCAAACAGG